rnacentral:lncRNA from 1 species
AGAGAGGAAUGGAGAGAGAACCCAAAUACAUUUGUAACCUGAGGAAAGGGAAUGAUUCACUUAGAAAGGAUAAAGUAAUAGCAUAAAAAUUAUAAUGUGCACUUCAUUAAAGAUAAAAAAUAUGUGCUCAUGAAAAGACAUCACUAAGAAUAUGUAGUCUUCUGUGACCAGAGGAAUUGGGAGACCCACAGGGAAAAUGCCAGGAUACCUGGAAGCUAGGAAAUGAUUACAGAAAUAUUUCUACAUGGAGGCCAAGAUGGCUGACUAGCAGCAGCCAGUGUGCACUGCUUUCACGGAGAGAAUAAAGAGUGGUGGGUUGACACUAGCUCUUCAAAAAAAAAAAAAAAUCAGCUGGGCAUGAUAGCGGGCACCUGUAGUCCCAGCUACUCAGGAGGCUGAGGCAGGAGAAUGGCGUGAACCCGGGAGGUGGAGCUUGCAGUGGGCCAAGAUCGCAC